CAGCCGGCAUCUUAUGAAUGGGGCUACUUUUCAGAACAGCUGUGCCAUUCUUCUGAGAGACCCAACCAGCCGGCCAGGAUUCCCACUCUCUGACAGGACCACAGAGAGAAGAAUGAGAGUCAUUUUUCUGAAGAGCUGUGUGAAGAAGCCGCAAGGAGACAAGGAAUGAAAGGCCUGGUGGUGCUGAAUUUGGACGUGGAACUCGAAAGUAAAAGCAGCUUUCAGAGCUCCACGGCAGUUAGCACUCUGGGCACGCACGGUGAUCAGCGUUGACUUAGGAAAUAUAUCUCAAAAACAACUCCGUUCUGAAAGAGCUAGGAGCUCAUGCUGCGUGGGCUCUCCCCAGAUGAGUCUGUGCAACUCAGAAAGGCAGGGGAAAAUAAAUACACAAAAGAAAUGAGUAGAUUCUCUCAUUAGGAAAGUCAAUGGGAUACGAUCCCUGAUGGAAUAGCCGUGUCUAUUCUAAGAGCUAAUUAACAAAAAACAAACAAUGCUGCAAAAAACUCAAGCUACAAGGACAGCAGAACAGACCCAGAUGGCUUGUGGGAAACUCCCAGGCCUGCCAACGGUGCGAGCAGAGGACACCUUGUGAAUGUGUAGAGUCUGACCUCGUUAUGAAGACUCGUCAGCAACCUUCUCCUCUCAUACCCCUUCCUGCCAGCUGCGGUGGUGGGCACAGCGCUGAGAACCACCUGUGCCAGCCACAUUUCUCCAAAGAAAACAUAAAAAUAGCCAAGAGGCACAUGAAAAGAUGCUCAACACUGCUAAUUAUUAGAGAAAUGGAAAUCAAAACUACAAUGAGGUAUCACCUCACACCAGUCAGAAUGGCCAUCGUCAAAAAAUCUACAAACAAUAAAUGCUGGAGAGGGUGUGGAGAAAAGGGAACCCUCAUACACUGUUGGUGGGAAUGUAAAUUGAUACAGCCACUAUGGAGAACAGUAUGGAGGUUCCUUAAAAAACUAAAUCUAGAGCUACCAUAUGACCCAAUUCCACUACUGGGCAUAUACCAUGAGAAAACCAUAAUUUGAGAAGAUACAUGCACCCUAAUGUUCAUUGCAGCACUGUUCACAAUAGCCAGCUCAUGGAAGCAACCUAAAUAUCCAUUGACAGAGGAAUGGAUAAAGAAGAUGGAAUAUUACUCAGCCAUAAAAAAAGAACAAAAUAAUGCCAUUUGCAGCAACAUGGAUGGACCUAGAGAUUGUCAUACUGAGUAAAGUAAGCCAGACAAAGACAAAUAUCAUAUGAUAUUGCUUAUAUGUGGAAUCUAAAAAAAUGGUAGAAAUGAACUUAUUUACAAAACAGAAAUAGACUCACAGAUGUAAAAACCUAACUUAUGGUUAGUUUUUUAGGGAGGGAUAA